AUACGUAGGGGGCGAGCGUUGUCCGGAAUGAUUGGGCGUAAAGGGCGCGUAGGCGGCCCGGUAAGUCUGGAGUGAAAGUCCUGCUUUUAAGGUGGGCAUUGCUUUGGAUACUGUCGGGCUUGAGUGCAGGAGAGGUAAGUGGAAUUCCCAGUGUAGCGGGGAAAUGCGUAGAGAUUGGGAGGAACACCAGUGGCGAAGGCGACUUACUGGACUGUAACUGACGCUGAGGCGCGAAAGUGUGGGGAGCAAACAGGAUUAGAUACCCUGGUAGUCCACACUGUAAACGAUGAAUGCUAGGUGUAGGGGGUAUCGACCCCUUCUGUGCCGCAGUUAACACAAUAAGCAUUCCGCCUGGGGAGUACGGCCGCAAGGUUGAAACUCAAAGGAAUUGACGGGG
rnacentral:rRNA from 1 species